rnacentral:rRNA from 1 species
CCUGAAAGGGCGGGGUGCCCGCAAGGGAGCGUGGAGACAGGUGGUGCAUGGCUGUCGUCAGCUCGUGUCGUGAGAUGUUGGGUUAAGUCCCGCAACGAGCGCAACCCUCACCCCUAGUUGCCACCGGGUAAUGCCGAGCACUCGAGGGGAACUGCCAGCGUCAAGCUGGAGGAAGGCGGGGAUGACGUCAAGUCAUCAUGCCCCUUACGCCCUGGGCUACACACGUGCUACAAUGGCCAGUACAAAGGGAUGCGAGACCGUAGGUGGAGCUAAUCCCAAAAAGCCGGUCUAAGUUCAGAUUGGAAGUCUGCAACUCGACUCCAUGAAGGAGGAAUCGCUAGUAAUCGCGUAUCAGCACGACGCGGUGAAUACGUUCCCGGGCCUUGUACACACCGCCCGUCACACCACGAAAGCCCAGUUGUACUCGAAG